UACGUAGGGUGCAAGCGUUAAUCGGAAUUACUGGGCGUAAAGCGUGCGCAGGCGGCUUUGCAAGACAGAUGUGAAAUCCCCGGGCUCAACCUGGAAACUGCAUUUGUGACUGCAAAGCUAGAGUACGGUAGAGGGGGAUGGAAUUCCGCGUGUAGCAGUGAAAUGCGUAGAUAUGCGGAGGAACACCGAUGGCGAAGGCAAUCCCCUGGACCUGUACUGACGCUCAUGCACGAAAGCGUGGGGAGCAAACAGG
rnacentral:rRNA from 1 species